rnacentral:rRNA from 1 species
GGCCUAAUGAUUAUAAUUUUAGGUCGAUCUGCCCAAUGAUUUAUAAUUGAAUGGCUGCAGUAUAAUUAACUGUACAAAGGUAGCAUAGUCAAUUGUUUUUUAAUUGAAAACUGGAAUGAAAGAAUUAAUGAGAUAUAUACUGUCUCAUAUAUAUUUUAUUAAGUUAAAUUUUUAGUUAAAAUGCUGAAAUAAAUUUAUGGGACGAUAAGACCCUAUAGAAUUUUAUAUUAAAAUUUAAGAUAGAUUAAUUUUUAAGUUUAAUAUUUAGUUGGGAGGAUUGGUAAAUUUAAUUAACUUUAUUUUAAAAGUAUACUUUGAUUUGAGAAUUUAUUAAUGAUUUUGUAUUAUUGAUUAUAAGAAAAAAUUACCUUAGGGAUAACAGCGUAAUAUCUUUUUAAAGACCGAAUUUGUAAAGAUGAUUGCGACCUCGAUGUUGAAUUAAGAUAAAUUUUAAAUGGAGAAGUUUAAUGAUUAAGUCUGUUCGACUUUUAAAAUCUUACAUGAUUUGAGUUCAAAUCGACGUGAGU